rnacentral:rRNA from 1 species
GACGAACGCUGGCGGCGUGCUUAAUACAUGCAAGUCGAACGAGGUCCAUCCGGUGGCAACACCGGAGAAGACCGAGUGGCGAACGGGUGAGUAACACGUGAGGAACCUGCCCCGAAGACCGGGAUAACAGCGGGAAACCACUGCUAAUACCGGAUACCCCCACUGGACCGCAUGAUCCGGUGAGGAAAGGAUUCUGCUUCGGGAGGGCCUCGCGGCCUAUCAGCUUGUUGGUGGGGUAACGGCCUACCAAGGCGUCGACGGGUAGCUGGU